GGCUAGUUAGUUAAGUAGUAUAAUUUCUAAUUACAAAUUAGAAGGUUAUAGGUUCAAUUCCUGUAUUAGCCU
rfam:Mycosphaerella graminicola IPO323 chromosome 10, whole genome shotgun sequence.